rnacentral:rRNA from 1 species
UGGGGAAUAUUGCACAAUGGGGGGAACCCUGAUGCAGCGACGCCGCGUGAGGGAAGAAGGUUUCGGAUUGUAAACCUCUGUCCUCUGUGACGAUAAUGACGGUAGCAGAGGAGGAAGCCACGGCUAACUACGUGCC